UAACCAGGGACGUUGAGACGUUAACCGGAGACAUUGAGACACUAUCUGGAGACAUUGAGACAUUAAUCGGGAACGUUGAGACGUUAACCGGAGACGUUAACCGGAGACAUUGAGACGUUAACCGGGGACAUUGAGACGUUAACCGGGGACAUUGAGACGUUAGCCGGAGGCGUUAAGACGUUAACCGGGGACGUUGAGACGUUCGCCGGAGGCGUUAACUGG
rnacentral:lncRNA from 1 species